GUUGAAACACCGGUUCUCGUGCGAUCACCGAAGUUAAGAAACGUCCAGCUUGGUCCUUACCUGGAUGGGUGACUGCUUCGUAAUACCAGGUGCUGUAAG